UUUUGAGUUGUGAGGAGACUGAAGGGGAAGGAGACUCAGCGGGGAGAGAGGGGAGCCUCGCCUCAGGAGCGGGACAGGGAAGCUGAGGCGGGUCGCCAGCCCAAGGCUGCUCCCUGCUGGCAGCGUCUUAUUUUCCCCUCACGACACUCUCUCCUUUCAGCUCUGAGAGGACGCGAAAAAGGAGCCCCGCCGUGAGGCUGGAAGCGGGACCGUGAGGGCUCCGAAACCUCCUCCCCACACAGCCCUGAGAGGAGAAGGAGCCUCGGCUGGAAGAGAGAGGCUGCCUCAGACGAGCAACAGAAUAGAGGGGCGCCUGAAUGGCAGCUUGGUAGCCUUUCAAUAUCCCCACAGCCCUGUGAGGCUCCUCUGGCUGGAAGGCGGCGGCUCCCUCAAACGGGCUUAAUUUUCUAGAGGCUGUUUUGUGGCAUUUGGAGAUGGCCACACAGACCUGUGAGGCUCCCUCAAAAGAGCUCAAGUCUUUAAUAGCAGUUCUGUGGCUAGCCUUGGGUGUUUCCAGGGUUGGUUGGUUUUUAUUAUGGAUGGCUUCCCCCCCAUUAUUUCUGUAUGCUGCUUGCAGUAUUGUUUAAAUACAAACUUCCAAUAGUUUUAAAAACAAAAAUAGGCUUUGAAUAGGAUAAAAACAAAAAUAGGCUUUGAAUAGGAUAAAAACAAAAAUAGGCUUUGAAUAGGAUAAAAACAAAUAAGGAUAGAAUAAAAGUUAAAAGAAUAGGCUAAAAUCUAAAAACAGUGAGCUAGUGCAGUGUAGUAAAGGAAAUAUAGGUGAUUAACAAGGAAAUGUAACAGAAAAUAGUGUGAAGCAAUUUCAAAGCAGAUUAAAUAUUUUAGAACAAUUAGUGUAUUAAAAUAAUAUUGAAAGUAGCAUAUGGAAAUGAUGGGGAAAGCUCAUCAAUAGUAAAAGCCUGGAACCCUAGAAAGCAUAGGACUUAUUCCUCAUAGCAGUCCCUAAGAUGGCUUGGCUGUAGCCCCCCACAGCUAGGUUGGAUGCCCUGACACCUAUUGCUCAAGAGCAGCCUGCAAAGGAGCUAGAGCAUAGCUUUCUUAUGUGGACUUUGUUUUUGUUUUGAAUAACCCUUGAUUUAGCCAGAGGAUAGCUUUCUCAUACUAGACUUUACCUCUUUGCUCUGCAUGGCCCCUCAUUUAGUAGGAUUGUGCCUUUCUUCUUCUGGAUUUACAUUUUCUGUUCCAGCUCAUUUAAAUGGAGGAUGUCCAUCUCCAAUCCUUAUUGCGUGACUUCAUGCCCUGAGAAGUGGUGAGGUGGCAUAUCUGAAUUGCCUAAUCUUCAGCUUGAUCUGUCCUGCCUGUGGAAGAAAUGAUCGAUGGUGGAAAUGUGGCAUCUCUGACCUGCCCAUAGGAACAUGGGAAGCUGCCAUAUACUGACUUCAAACUGUAUGCGGUGCGGGGGCAUGGAGGAAAAAGUAUGGCAGUGGGCGCCACUUGAAGGGCUGCUGGUUCUUGCAUGCUCAUUGUUUGCAGCCAAAGAGAGUGAAGGGGAGAAAAGAUAGACAUACAGAAGGAGGAAGAAAACCAAGCGGAAAGGAGCAACAGGAUACAUGCAAACGGCAGAAGUAGGAGGAUCGACUGUCCUUCAAGAAGCUUCACAGAAGAAAUGGGCAGGUCUUCAUGUCUUUGCUCGGAGAAGCCACUGAUUUGGCCGGGUGGCUAUUUCCAAUCCUUGCUGCAUGACGUGGCCCUUCAUGUUCUGAGUGGUGCUGAGGUGGCAUCUCCGACCUGCCCUGGCCAUCAGCUUGGUCCACCCUGCCCACAGAGGAAGCAAGAGACGGUGGAAGUGCAGCAUCCCUGACCUCUUCAAGCAGCGUGGUGUGCUGAGCAGGCUCUGCUGGCUGAAGGCACCAGAAGGUGAAGGGAAGAAAAGACAGAAGAAAUUAGUGCAGAAGGAGGAAGAAAACCAUGCAGAAAGGAGCAAGAGGAGACAUGCAAAGGGAAGAAGUUGGCAACUUGGAGGAGCUGACAUGUGCAAGAAGCUUCAGCGAAGAAAUGGGCAGGUUGUGUUUGCACAAGUGGGAUGGCUUCACUGCUGGCUUUCUCUCUGCCAUGGAUCACUCUGAGUAGGGCUGAUUUACCUGCAGCAUGGCUUUCUCGUGCUGGACUUCAUGUCUUUGCACUGAGGAGCCCCUAAAAUUGUGGGAUACUGCCUUUUAGUGGCCGUACACUGAAGGGUUCUUGUCUUCAUGGCCAUCCUGAGAGUGAGGUGGCAUCUCUGACCUGCUCCUACCAUCAGCUUCACCCACGAAGGAGGCAAGAGACUGUGGACGUGUGGCAUCGCUGACCUCUUCAAGCAGCGUGGUGUGUUUGCAGGCUCUGCUGGCUGAAGGCACCAGAAGGCGAAGGGGAGAAAAGACAGAAGGAGGAAGAAAACCAUGCAGAAAGGAGCAACAGGAGACAUGCAAAGAGAAGAAGUUGGCAACUUGGAGGAGCUGACAUGUUCCAGAAGCUUCACUGAAGAAACGGGCAGGUUGUAGAUGCACAAGUGGGAUGGCUUCACUGCUGGCUUUCUUUCUGCCAUGGAUCACUCUGAGUAGGGCUGAUUUACCUGCAGCAUGGCUUUCUCAUGCUGGACUUCAUGUCUUUGCAACUGAGAAGCCCCUGAAAUUGUGAGUGCCUGGCCUUUUUAGUGGCCAUACGCUGAGGGUUCUCUAAUAGGGCCGGGGGGCUUCUGUCUCAUGCGGGACUUCACGUCUUUGCAAUUGAGAAGCCCCUGAAAUUGUGAGUGCCUGGCCUUUUGAGUGGCCAUAUGCUGAGGGGUCUCUAAUAGGGCCGGGGGGCUUCUGUCUCAAGCGGGACUUCACGUCUUUGCAAUUGAGAAGCCCCUGAAAUUGUGAGUGCCUGGCCUUUUGAGUGGCCAUACGCUGAGGGGUCUCUAAUAGGGCCAGGGGGCACCUUUCUCAUGCGGGACUUCACGUCUUUGCAAUGGAGAAGCCCCUGAAAUUGUGAGUGCCUGGCCUUCUGAGUGGCCAUAUGCUGAGGGGUCUCUAAUAGGGCCAGGGGGCUUCUAUCUCAUGCGGGACUUCAUGUCUUUGCAAUUGAGAAGCCCCCAAAAUUGUGAGUGCCUGGCCUUUUGAGUGGCCCAACACUGAGGGGUCUCUAAUACAUGUUCAAGAAGCUUCAGCGAAGAAACGGACAGGUUGUGUUUGCACAAGUCGGAUGCCUUCACUGCUUGCUUUCUCUCUGCCAUGGAUCACUCUGAGUAGGGCUGAUUUACCUGCAGCAUGGCUUUCUCGUGCUGGACUUCAUGUCUUUGCACUGAGGAGCCCCUAAAAUUGUGGGAUCCUGCCCUUAUUAGUGGCCAUACACUGAGGGGUUCUUGGCUUCAUGACCAUCCUGUGAGUGAGGUGGCAUCUCUGACGUGCUCCUACCAUCAGCUUCACCCACGAAGGAGGCAAGAGACUGUGGACGUGUGGCAUCGCUGACCUCUUCAAGCAGCGUGGUGUGUUUGCAGGCUCUGCUGGCUGAAGGCACCAGAAGGUGAAGGGAAGAAAAGACAGAAGAAAUUAGUGCAGAAGGAGGAAGAAAACCAUGCAGAAAGGAGCAAGAGGAGACAUGCAAAGGGAAGAAGUUGGCAACUUGGAGGAGCUGACAUGUUCAAGAAGCUUCAGCGAAGAAACGGUCAGGUUGUAGAUGCACAAGUGGGAUGGCUUCACUGCUGGCUUUCUUUCUGCCAUGGAUCACUCUGAGUAGGGCUGAUGUACCUGCAGCAUGGCUUUCUCGUGCUGGACUUCAUGUCUUUGCACUGAGGAGCCCCUAAAAUUGUGGGAUCCUGCCCUUCAUAGUGGCCAUACACUGAGGGGUUCUUGGCUUCAUGACCAUCCUGAGAGUGAGGUGGCAUCUCUGACCUGCUCCUACCAUCAGCUUCACCCAUGAAGGAGGCAAGAGACUGUGGACGUGUGGCAUCGCUGACCUCUUCAAGCAGUGUGGUGUUUUUGCAGUCUCUGCUGGCUGAAGGCACCAGAAGGCGAAGGGGAGAAAAGACAGAAGAAAUUAGUGCAGAAGGAGGAAGAAAACCAAGCAGAAAGGAGCAAGAGGAGACAUGAAAAGUGAAGAAGUUGGCAACUUGGAGGAGCUGACAUGUGCAAGAAGCUUCAGCGAAGAAACGGGCAGGUUGUAGAUGCACAAGUGGGAUGGCUUCACUGCUGGCUUUCUCUCUGCCAUGGAUCACUCUUAGGGCUGAUUUACCUGCAGCAUGGCAUUCUCGUGUUUGACUUCAUGUCUUUGCACUGAGGAGCCCCUGAAAUUAUUGUGCCUGCCCUUCUUAGUGGACAUACACUGAGGGGUCUCUAAUAGGGCCAGAGGGCUUCUAUCUCAUGCGGGACUUCACGUCUUUGCAAUUGAGAAGCCCCUGAAAUUGGUGAGUACCUGGCCUUGUGAGUGGCCAUAUGCUGAGGGGUCUCUUAUAGGGCUGAGGGGCAUCUUUCUCAUGCGAGACUUCAUGUCUUUGCAAUUGAGAAGCCCCUGAAAUUGUGAGUGCCUGGCCUUCUUAGUGGCCAUACGCUGAGGGGUCUCUAAUAGGGCCAGGGGGCUUCAUUCUCAUGCGAGACUUCAUGUCUUUGCAAUUGAGAAGCCCCUGAAAUUGUGAGUGCCUGGCCUUCUGAGUGGCCAUACAUUGAAGGGUCUCUAAUAGGGCCAGGGGGCUUCUAUCUCAUGCUGGACUUCAUGUCUUUGCAAUUGAGAAGCCCCUGAAAUUGUGAGUGCCUGGCCUUUUGAGUGGCCAUAUGCUGAGGGGUCUCUAAUAGGGACAGGGGGCUUCUAUCUCAUGCUGGACUUCAUGUCUUUGCAAUUGAGAAGCCCCUGAAAUUGUGAGAGCCUGGCCUUCUGAGUGGCCAUACAUUGAGGGGUCUCUAAUAGGGCCAGGGGGCUUCAUUCUCAUGCGGGACUUCAUGUCUUUGCAAUUGAGAAGCCCCUGAAAUUGUGAGUGCCUGGCCUUCUGAGUGGCCAUACAUUGUGGGUUCUCUAAUAGGGCCAGGGGGCUUCAUUCUCAUGCGGGACUUCAUGUCUUUGCAAUUGAGAAGCCCCUGAAAUUGUGAGUGCCUGGCCUUCUGAGUGGCCAUACAUUGAGGGGUCUCUAAUAGGGCCAGGGGGCGUCAUUCUUAUGCUGGACUACACGUCUUGGCAAUUGAGAAGCCCCUGAAAUUGUGAGUGCCUGGCCUUUUGAGUGGCCAUACAUUGUGGGUUCUCUAAUAGGGCCAGGGGGUUUCAUUCUCAUGCGGGACUUCAUGUCUUUGCAAUUGAGAAGCCCCUGAAAUUCUGAGUUCUUGGCCUUUUCAGUGGCCAUACAUUGAAGGGUCUCUAAUAGGGCCGGAGGGCUUCUAUCUCAUGCUGGACUUCAUGUCUUUGCAAUUGAGAAGCCCCUGAAAUUUUGAGUGCCUGGCCUUCUGAGUGGCCAUACAUUGAAGGGUCUCUAAUAGGGCCAGGGGGCUUCUAUCUCAUGCUGGACUUCAUGUCUUUGCAAUUGAGAAGCCCCUGAAAUUGUGAGUGCCUGGCCUUUUGAGUGGGCUUAUGCUGAGGGGUCUCUAAUAGGGCCGAGGGGCAUCUUUCUCAUGGAGGACUUCACGUCUUUGCAAUUGAGAAGCCCCUGAAAUUGUGAGUGGCUGGCCUUUUGAGUGGCCAUAUGAUGAGGGGUCUCUAAUAGGGCCAGGGGGCUUCUAUCUCAUGCGGGACUUCAUGUCUUUGCAGUUGAGAAGCCCCUGAAAUUGUGAGUGCCUGGCCUUCUGAGUGGCCAUAUGCUGAGGGGUCUCUUAUAGGGAUGAGGGGCUUCUAUCUCAUGCUGGACUUCACGUCUUUGCAAUUGAGAAGCCCCUGAAAUUGUGAGUGCCUGGCCUUUUGAGCGGCCAUACAUUGAGGGGUCUCUAAUAGGGCCGGAGGGCUUCUAUCUCAUGCUGGACUUCAUGUCUUUGCAAUUGAGAAGCCCUUGAAAUUGUGAGUGCCUGGCCUUUUGAGUGGCCAUACAUUGAGGGGUCUCUAAUAGGGCCGGAGGGCUUCUAUCUCAUGCUGGACUUCAUGUCUUUGCAAUUGAGAAGCCCGUGAAAUUGUGAGUGCCUGGCCUUCUCAGUGGCCAUACGCUGAGGGGUCUCUAAUAGGGCCAGGGGGCUUCUAUCUCAUGCGGGACUUCAUGUCUUUGCAAUUGAGAAGCCCCUGAAAUUGUGAGAGCCUGGCCUUUUCAGUGGCCAUAUGCUGAGGGCGGUCUUAUAGGGCUGAGGGGCAUCUUUCUCAUGAGAGACUUCACGUCUUUGCAACUGAGUAGCCCCUGAAAUUGUGAGUGGCUGGCCUUUUGAGUGGCCAUAUGCUGAUGGGUCUCUAAUAGGGACAGGGGGCUUCUAUCUCAUUCUGGACUUCAUGUCUUUGCAAUUGAGAAGCCCCCAAAAUUGUGAGUGCCUGGCCUUUUCAGUGGCCAUAUGCUGAGGGCGGUCUUAUAAGGCCGGGGGGCUUCUAUCUCAUGCGGGACUUCAUGUCUUUGCAAUUGAGAAGCCCCCAAAAUUGUGAAUGCCUGGCCUUUUGAGUGGCCAUACAUUGAGGGGUCUCUAAUAGGGCCAGGGGGCUUCUAUCUCAUGCAGGACUUCACGUCUUUGCAAUUGAGAAGCCCCUGAAAUUGGUGAGUACCUGGCCUUGUGAGUGGCCAUAUACUGAGGGGUCUCUUAUAGGGCUUAGGGGCAUCUUUCACAUGCGAGACUUCAUGUCUUUGCAAUUGAGAAGCCCCUGAAAUUGUGAGUGCUUGGCCUUCUGAGUGGCCAUUUGCUGAGGGGUCUCUAAUAGGGCCGAGGGGCUUCUAUCUCAUGCGGGACUUCAUGUCUUUGCAAUUGAGAAGCCCCUGAAAUUGUGAGUUCCUGGCCUUUUGAGUGGCCAUACAUUGAGGGGUCUCUAAUAGGGCCAGGGGGCUUCUAUCUCAUGUGGGACUUCAUGUCUUUGCAAUUGAGAAGCCCCUGAAAUUGUGAAAGCCUGGCCUUCUGAGUGGCCAUACAUUGAGGGCUCUCUAAUAGGGCUGGGGGGCGUCAUUCUCAUGCGGGACUUCAUGUCUUUGCAAUUGAGAAGCCCCUGAAAUUGUGAGUGCUUGGCCUUCUGAGUGGCCAUUUGCUGAGGGGUCUCUAAUAGGGCCGAGGGGCUUCUAUCUCAUGCGGGACUUCAUGUCUUUGCAAUUGAGAAGCCCCUGAAAUUGUGAGUGCUUGGCCUUCUGAGUGGCCAUAUGCUGAGGGCGGUCUUAUAGGGCCGGGGGGCUUCUAUCUCAUGCUGGACUUCAUGUCUUUGCAAUUGAGAAGCCCCAAAAAUUGUGAGUGCCUGGCCUUUUCAGUGGCCAUACAUUGAGGGGUCUCUAAUAGGGCCAGGGGGCUUCUAUCUCAUGCGGGACUUCACGUCUUUGCAGUUGAGAAGCCCCUGAAAUUGUGAGUGCCUGGCCUUUUGAGUGGCCAUACAUUGAGGGGUCUCUAAUAGGGCCGGAGGGCUUCUAUCUCAUGCAGGACUUCACGUAUUUGCAAUUGAGAAGCCCCUGAAAUUGGUGAGUACCUGGCCUUGUGAGUGGCCAUAUGCUGAGGGGUCUCUUAUAGGGCUGAGGGGCAUCUUUCUCAUGCGAGACUUCAUGUCUUUGCAAUUGAGAAGCCCCUGAAAUUGUGAGUGCUUGGCCUUCUGAGUGGCCAUUUGCUGAGGGGUCUCUAAUAGGGCCGAGGGGCUUCUAUCUCAUGCGGGACUUCAUGUCUUUGCAAUUGAGAAGCCCCUGAAAUUGUGAAAGCCUGGCCUUCUGAGUGGCCAUACAUUGAGAGGUCUCUAAUAGGGCUGGGGGGCGUCAUUCUCAUGCGGGACUACACGUCUUUGCAAUUGAGAAGCCCCUGAAAUUGUCGUGCCUUGCCUUCUGAGUGGCCAUAUGCUGAGGGGUCUCUAAUAGGGCCGGGGGGCUUCUAUCUCAUGCUGGACUUCAUGUCUUAGCAAUUGAGAAGCCCUUGAAAUUGUGAGUGCCUGGUCUUCUGAGUGGCCAUACAUUGAAGGGUCUCUAAUAGGGCCAGGGGGCUUCUAUCUCAUGCGGGACUUCAUGUCUUUGCAAUUGAGAAGCCCCUGAAAUUGUGAGUGCCUGGCCUUUUGAGCGGCCAUACAUUGAGGGGUCUCUAAUAGCGCCGGAGGGCUUCUAUCUCAUGCUGGACUUCAUGUCUUUGCAAUUGAGAAGCCCUUGAAAUUGUGAGUGCCUGGCCUUCUGAGUGGCCAUACGCUGAGGGGUCUCUAAUAGGGCCAGGGGGCUUCUAUCUCAUGCAGGACUUCAUGUCUUUGCAAUUGAGAAGCCCCUGAAAUUUUGAGAGCCUGGCCUUCUGAGUGGCCAUAUGCUGAGGGGUCUCUUAUAGGGCUGAGGGGCAUCUUUCUCAUGAGAGACUUCACGUCUUUGCAUUUGAGUAGCCCCUGAAAUUGUGAGUGGCUGGCCUUUUGAGUGGCCAUAUGCUGAGGGGUCUCUUAUAGCGCUGAGGGGCGUCUUUCUCAUGCGAGACUUCACGUCUUUGCAAUUGAGAAGCCCCCAAAAUUGUGAGUGCCUGGCCUUUUCAGUGGCCAUAUGCUGAGGGCGGUCUUAUAAGGCCGGGGAGCUUCUAUCUCAUGCUGGACUUCAUGUCUUUGCAAUUGAGAAGCCCCCAAAAUUGUGAGUGCCUGGCCUUUUGAAUUGCCAUACAUUGAGGGGUCUCUAAUAGGGCCAGGGGGCUUCUAUCUCAUGCGGGACUUCACGUCUUUGCAAUCGAGAAGGCCCUGAAAUUGUGAGUGCCUGGCCUUUUGAGUGGCCAUACAUUGAGGGGUCUCUAAUAGGGCCGGAGGGCUUCUAUCUCAUUCUGGACUUCAUGUCUUUGCAAUUGAGAAGCCCCUGAAAUUGUGAAAGCCUGGCCUUCUGAGUGGCCAUACAUUGAGGGGUCUCUAAUAGGGCUGGGGGGUGUCAUUCUCAUGCGGGAAUACACGUCUUUGCAAUUGAGAAGCCCCUGAAAUUGUCGUGCCUUGCCUUCUGAGUGGCCAUAUGCUGAGGGGUCUCUAAUAGGGCCGGGGGGCUUCUAUCUCAUGCUGGACUUCAUGUCUUAGCAAUUGAGAAGCCCUUGAAAUUGUGAGUGCCUGGUCUUCUUAGUGGCCAUACAUUGAAGGGUCUCUAAUAGGGCCAGGGGGCUUCUAUCUCAUGCGGGACUUCAUGUCUUUGCAAUUGAGAAGCCCCUGAAAUUGUGAGAGCCUGGCCUUUUGAGCUGCCAUACAUUGAGGGGUCUCUAAUAGGGCCGGAGGGCUUCUAUCUCAUGCUGGACUUCAUGUCUUUGCAAUUGAGAAGCCCGUGAAAUUUUGAGUGCCUGGCCUUCUCAGUGGCCAUACGCUGAGGGGUCUCUAAUAGGGCCAGGGGGCUUCUAUCUCAUGCGGGACUUCAUGUCUUUGCAAUUGAGUAGCCCCUGAAAUUGUGAGUGGCUGGCCUUUUGAGUGGCCAUAUGCUGAGGGGUCUCUUAUAGGGCUGAGGGGCAUCUUUCUCAUGCCAGACUUCACGUCUUUGCAAUUGAGUAGCCCCUGAAAUUGUGAGUGGCUGGCCUUUUGAGUGGCCAUAUGCUGAUGGGUCUCUAAUAGGGACAGGGGGCUUCUAUCUCAUUCUGGACUUCAUGUCUUUGCAAUUGAGAAGCCCCAAAAAUUGUUAGUGCCUGGCCUUUUCAGUGGCGAUAUGCUGAGGGCGGUCUUAUAGGGCCGGGGGGCUUCUAUCUCAUGCGGGACUUCAUGUCUUUGCAAUUGAGAAGCCCCCAAAAUUGUGAGUGCCUGGCCUUUUGAGUGGCCAUACAUUGAGGGGUCUCUAAUAGGGCCGGAGGGCUUCUAUCUCAUGCUGGACUUCAUGUCUUUGCAAUUGAGAAGCCCCUGAAAUUGUGAGUGCCUGGUCUUCUGAGUGGCCAUAUGCUGAGGGGUCUCUUAUAGAGCUGAGGGGCAUCUAUCUCAUGUGGGACUUCAUGUCUUUGCAAUUGAGAAGCCCCUGAAAUUGUGAGUGCCUGGCCUUUUGAGUGGCCAUACAUUGAGGGGUCUCUAAUAGGGCUGGGGGGCGUCAUUCUCAUGCGGGACUACACGUCUUUGCAAUUGAGAAGCCCCUGAAAUUGUCGUGCCUUGCCUUCUGAGUGGCCAUAUGCUGAGGGGUCUCUAAUAGGGCCGGGGGGCUUCUAUCUCAUGCUGGGCUUCAUGUCUUAGCAAUUGAGAAGCCCUUGAAAUUGUGAGUGCCUGGUCUUCUGAGUGGCCAUACAUUGAAGGGUCUCUAAUAGGGCCAGGGGGCUUCUAUCUCAUGCGGGACUUCACGUCUUUGCAAUUGAGAAGCCCCUGAAAUUGUGAGAGCCUGGCCUUUUGAGUGGCCAUAUGCUGAGGGGUCUCUAAUAGGGCCGGGGGGCUUCUGUCUCAUGCGGGACUUCACGUCUUUGCAAUUGAGAAGCCCCUGAAAUUGUGAGUGCCUGGCCUUUUGAGUGGCCAUAUGCUGAGGGGUCUCUAAUAGGGCCGGAGGGCUUCUAUCUCAUGCAGGACUUCAUGUCUUUGUAAUUGAGAUGCCCCUGAAAUUGUGAGUGCCUGGCCUUCUGCGUGGCCAUAUGCUAUGGGGUCUCUAAUAGGGCCAGGGGGCAUCUUUCUCAUGCAGGACUUCACAUCUUUGCCAUUGAGGAGCCCCUAAAAUUGUGGUGCCUCACCUUCUUGGUUGCUAUAGAUUGACUGAAUGAUUGUAGACUCUUAGCGACCACAUAGUCUCUCCAGUAUAUUCUGUCUUCAAUUUGGCCUUUAAGGUCUCAGUGGUGCAUUCAUUGAUGCCGAAUUUGAGUCAAUCCACCUUGCUGCUGGUCUUCCUUCUUUCAACUUUCCCCAGCAUUAUGGACUUCUCAAGGAAGCUGGGUCUUCACAUUUUGUGUCCGAAGUAUAAUAGUUUGAGCCUGGUCAUUUCUUCCUCCAUUGAGAAUCCUGGAUUUAUUUAUUUGAUGAUCCUCUUGUUUUCUUGGCUGUCCAUGAUGUCCUCAAAAGUCUUCUACAGCAACAAAGUUCAAAAGCGUCAAUGCUUUUUCUGUCUGACUUCUGCAAUGUCCAGCUUUCGUAUCCAUAGAGUGUCAUGGGGAAAAGCACUGUCCGAACAAUUCUAAUCAUUUUAGGUGUAGACCCGUCUCGACAUCUAAUAUCCUUUCCAAGGCCUUCAUUGCAACCCUACCGAGUGCUAGUCUGCGGCGUCUUUCUUGACUGCUGGAUCCUUUACAGUUCAUGGUCGAUCCUAAAAGGCAGAAGCUAUCCACCUCUUCAGUGUCUUCAUUGUCAAUUCUGAGGCUGGUUGCUGUACCAGUUGUCAUUCGUUUAGUCGUCGUCCCAUUUUUUUCGCUGGGCUCCUUGACUUUCAUUACGAGAGCUUGCAGACCAUCCACAUGCUCAGCUAUCAGAUUGGUGUCAUCAGCAUAGCGCAGGUUAUUGAUGUUUCUUCUUCCAAUGUAAAAACCACUCUCAUCUUCCAAUCCAGAUUGUCUCAGUAUAUGUUUAACAUAUAAGUUGAAAAAAUAAGGAGAAGGUAUACUGCCUUGUCUUAUUCCUUUGCUAAUCAGGAACCAGUCUGUUUCAUACUGGGGGCCCCUAAUUUGGCUGGGUUCUUUCUCAUGUGGGAUUUCACGUCUUUGCAAUGGAAAAGCCCCUAAAAUCGUGGGAUCCUGGCUUUCUUAGUGGCCAUACACUGAAGGUUCCCUAAUUGAGCGGGGGUGCUGCUUUCAGAUGUUGGACUUCACGUCUUUGCAAUUGAGGAGCCCCUAAAAUUUUGGGAGCCUGGCCUUCUUAGUGGCUAUACACUGAGGGGUUCUUGACUGCAUAACUUCGCCCUUCAUCCUGUGAGUGAGGUGGCAUCUCUGACCUGCUCCUACCAUCAGCUUCGCCCAUGGAGGAGGCAAGAGACGGUGGAAGUGUGGCAUCCCUGACCUCUUCAAGCAGCGUGGUGUGCUGAGCAGGCUUUGCUUUGGCUGAAGGCACCAAGUGAAUGGACUCUGAUCAGGCAAGGAGACCUGGCCUUAAGCUUUAAGGUUUCAUUCUCCUUGGUCUGGGCUCUGGGAUGAACAGAGCUAGUCCUCAAAAAGCCUUUCUAAAGAUAGAAAAGAGUAAAAGUCUUUAAAAAGGUUUGUUGUUCAGAAUGCGAAGGGGAGAAAAGACAGAAGAAAUUAGUGCAGAAGGAGGAAGAAAACCAUGCAGAAAGGAGCAACAGGAGACAUGCAAAGAGAAGAAGUUGGCAACUUGGAGGAGCUGACAUGUGCAAGAAGCUUCACUGAAGAAACGGGCAGGUUGUAGAUGCAUACAUUGGAUGGCUUCACUGCUGGCUUUCUCUCUGCCAUGGAUCACUCUGAGUAGGGCUGAUUUACCUGCAGCAUGGCUUUCUCGUGCUGGACUUCAUGUCUUUGCACUGAGGAGCCCCUAAAAUUGUGGGUGCCUGGCCUUCUUAGUGGCCAUACACUGAGGGGCCCCUGAUUUGGCUGGGGUGCGGCUUUCAGAUGCUGGACUCCUCGUUUAGAAGGCAAAGGGGAGAAAAGACAGAAGAAAUUAGUGCAGAAGGAGGAAGAAAACCAUGCAGAAAGGAGCAACAGGAGACAUGCAAAGGGAAGAAGUUGGCAACUUGGAGGAGCUGACAUGUCCAAGAAGCUUCACUGAAGAAACGGGCAGGUUGUAGAUGCAUACAUUGGAUGGCUUCACUGCUGGCUUUCUCUCUGCCAUGGAUCACUCUGAGUAGGGCUGAUUUACCUGCAGCAUGGCUUUCUCGUGCUGGACUUCAUGUCUUUGCACUGAGGAGCCCCUAAAACUGUGGGUGCCUGGCCUUCUUAGUGGCCAUACACUGAGGGGCCCCUGAUUUGGCUGGGGUGCGGCUUUCAGAUGCUGGACUCCUCGUUUAGAAGGCAAAGGGGAGAAAAGACAGAAGAAAUUAGUGCAGAAGGAGGAAGAAAACCAAGCAGAAAGGAGCAAGAGGAGACAUGCAAAGGGAAGAAGUUGGCAACCUGGAGGAGCUGACAUGUUCAAGAAGCUUCACCGAAGAAGCGGGCAGGUUGUCGAUGCACAAGUGGGAUGGCUUCACUGCUGGCUUUCUCUCUGCCAUGGAUCACUCUGAGUAGGGCUGAUUCUCCCUCUGUUCGGAGGAGUAUAUCCACCAUCCUUCGGUUACACUCCUUCCUCCUGAGGAGGAUGACUUUCAGGUAGGUGUCAACAUUUCAUUUACCAGCAGCAUAGUCUCCUCAUGCUGGACUUCAUGUCCCUGCAGAGACUAGCCUUUAAUUUGGCUGAGAGGUGGCUUUCUCAUGCUGGACUUCAUUUCUUGGUACUAAGGAACCCCUAAAAUUGUGCAUGGCCUCCUUAGGCUGUACUUAAUAUCUAUUCAGUGAGUAUAUCCUGAUUUGGGUGGGACAUGGCUUUCUCAUGCUAGACUUAAUGUCUUUUCGCCAGACCCACCCACCCCUGCCUGGUCUUUUGGUACUGCUUUUUCCUGUUGGACUUUACAUUUGUUCUUUGAGUAUUUCAUUUAAAAGGAUGGCAGCAGCUUCAAUCCUGGCUUCGUGACUUUACUCUUUUUCUGAGUGAUGGUGAAGUGGUACCUCCAAGCUGCCCCAGUCACAUUCUUCAGUUUGGUCUGCCCUGCCCACGGAGGAAGCAAGGGAUGCUGGGAGUGUGGCAUCCCUGACCUCUUCAAGCAGUGUGGUGUGCUUUGCAGGCUCAGCUGGCUGAAGGCACCAGAAGAGAACAGGAGAAAGACUGAAGAAGCGACUGCGGACCAAGGAGAAACGCCAUCAGAAAGGUGCAGCAGGAGCCCUGAAACCUGGAGAAGCAGGAGAAGACUGGCCAUCAAGAAGCAAGAGAACAGGGACGGGCAGGCUCCCCUCCUAGGAGCUGGCGGGCUUCAUGCUUGUCUUCAUGACGGAGUGGCAAUAAUAGUGACACAGCCCCGUGAAGCAGCUUAGCCGGCCAGCUGGUGGUGCCCUCCCAAGAGCGGCACGCGUGAGGGGCAGUUUUCUGGCAGUUCCGUCUUCAUGCCUCUGCUGUUUCCUGCUCUGAGAAGUCCCCGAGAUUCUUGGAGUGUGGUUUCCUCCGUGCCUGGCUUGAUGUCUCUGCUCCGCAUUGCUCAGAGCAGCCACUGAGAUGACUGGAGAGCAGCUGGCCUUGGGUGUUUCCGGGGGUUUAUCAGGAAUGGCUUCCCUUGCCCCCAUUAUUUCUGUAUGCUGCUUGCAAUAUUGUCUAAAUACAACCUUAAAAUACUUUAACAACUAGAACAAAAAUAGGUGUUAAAUAGGAUAAAAUCUAAAAACAAAAACUAGUGUAGUCUAACAUAAGAAAUAGGAUAAAAUCUAAAAGUAUAAACUAGUGUAGUAUAAUAAGAAAUAGUUGUUAGUUUAAUAUGGAAACUAGUUCAAAGCCCUUUCAAAGCAGAUUAAAUAUUUUAGACCCAUCAGCGUAUUACAAUAUUCCAGGCAGCAUAUAGAAAUGAUGAAAAAAGUACACUGAUAUUAAAAGCCUGAAACCCCAGGGGACUUAUUCCUCCCAGCUGGUAGCUCUUGAGUGGCUCCAGGUCUCUUCCUGCCAGGAACCUACAGACUUCUCUUCUCCUGCCUCCUGCUUGAUGCAAAGAUUGGGGGUGGGAGGACGGGCAUUUGAUAUAGAAAUAUCAAUAUUAAUUCUUUGUACUAUAGCUUUGCUUACUGACAGGCUUACAGGGUGUUUCUGUCAAGCACACAGAAUUUAUCAUUGUUUCAAGUUGUCUUACUGUGUUAACUUUGUUUCUAAUUUGUGUUUUAAACUCAUGCCCAGAGACCUGAGUUUGGGGUGGUAUACAACUAUGCUAAAUAAAAAGCUGUCAGUAUUGUCUGCUAUAAUCAAA